GGAUCGGCAGCCGAAGUGACGGCGGCGGUCGCCUCGCGCCGCCGUGAGGGAGGCGCCGGGCCGCUGCGCGCGGCUCUUCCCGCCGCUGGAGGCGCGCGCCUGAGGGCGAGCUGUGAGCGCCGUUACCGCGCGCUGCGUGCGCCUUCCGGGAGUCGCUGCCGCCCACUCGUUCCGUUUCUUGAGCCCGGGGCUUUGUAAAUCAAAUCGUGCUCGGCUUCAUGAAAAAAGUGAGGCGGGUGGAGCGUGACAAUGGGAAGUGGCCAAGAAAUUGUGAGCAGCCGAUCAGAACGCGCUGCUAGUUCAACAGUCUUGUUUGGAUAACCACGUACAGACACAGCUGCAAGUAGCACUAGGUGCCACGGCAUUCAUUGAAAGUACCUUCGGUAUCGUAGCAUGGUGUCGUUGAGCAGCUGGAAAUUCAGAGUUCUGGCAACACAUUAGCAGUCACAUCCCUUCAGAACAUCAACAAACAUUCUGAAGAAUAGCUUCAUUCCUUGAACCAGAUUUUCAAAGUGCACAAAUACACCUGCGUGGAAAUCCAAAGGAAACAGUUCCAGAAACAGUACUGCAACCUGUUUAUUCCGACUGUGUGAUGUAGUUCCUACGAAAGAACUUGUAGCAGCAGCCAUAGAAAUACUUCAGGGAAUGAGAAGAUCCUUGAGAAGCAACCGAAGGGAAAAACAUCUGGAAAAUAGACAUUUGCUGACUGAAAAGCUAUUUAAGAGAACUAAUAUCAUUAAAUAGCCCUUUUAUUUCUGACCCUUUUCUCCAAAGAAAUCUAUUCUCUAAAAUGUGGGUGCUAUUGCUGCCUUGAUAUUACCUGAAAUUGAAACAUUUGUUAUCGCUUGAGGAAAUUGAAGUUUAGAUCUGAAAAUGCAUCCAAUAAUAAGGCUCAUUAAGAAACAGCACUGUGUAGAAGUACAGAAAUUCACAAAAAAAAAAAAAAAAAAAAAAAAGAA